ensembl:lncRNA
AGACAGACCGACCGACAGAUAGAUAGAUAGAUAGAUAGAUAGAUAGAUAGAUAGAUAGAUAGACAGACAGACAGACAGACAGAUAGAUAGACAGACAGACAGACAGACAGACAGACAGACAUACAGACAGACAGACAGACAGACAGAUAGAUAGAUAGAUAGAUAGAUAGAUAGAUAGAUAGAUAGAUAGAUAGAUAGAUAGAUAGAUAGAUAGAUAGAUAGAUAGAUAGAUAGACAGACAGAUAGAUAGAUAGAAAGAUAGAAAGAUAGACAGAUAAUCAGACAGACAGACAGAUAGAUAGAUAGAUAGAUAGAUAGACAGAUAGAUAGACAGAUAGACAGAUAGAUAGAUAGACAGAUAGACAGAUAGAUAGAUAGACAGAUAGAUAGAUAGAUAGAAAGAUAGAAAGAUAGACAGAUA